rnacentral:rRNA from 1 species
CCUACGGGUGGCUGCAGUGGGGAAUAUUGGACAAUGGGGGGAACCCUGAUCCAGCCAUGCCGCGUGUGUGAAGAAGGCCCUCGGGUUGUAAAGCACUUUCAGUGAGGAAGAACGCCUGGUGGUUAAUACCCAUCAGGAAAGACAUCACUCACAGAAGAAGCACCGGCUAACUCCGUGCCAGCAGCCGCGGUAAUACGGAGGGUGCGAGCGUUAAUCGGAAUUACUGGGCGUAAAGCGCGCGUAGGUGGCUUGAUAAGCCGGUUGUGAAAGCCCCGGGCUCAACCUGGGAACGGCAUCCGGAACUGUCAAGCUAGAGUGCAGGAGAGGAAGGUAGAAUUCCCGGUGUAGCGGUGAAAUGCGUAGAGAUCGGGAGGAAUCCCAGUGGCGAAGGCGGCCUUCUGGACUGACACUGACACUGAGGUGCGAAAGCGUGGGUAGCAAACAGGAUUAGAUACCCUGGUAGUC